AACAUGGAUGAAGUUCUAAAACAUACUGUUUCUACUCCCUGACUCUUCAAAGUCCUUUUAACCUUUCUGAUGUGCUUAGCUGAGUGUCUCAUGGGGCCCAGAGUGUUUAUUGUUAAGAACAAAUAGAAAACAAAAGAAUAUUCAAAGCAGUCUCACACCACAUGGAUACCAAAGCUCACAAUUGAGUAAUAAGAUUGCAGCUCUGUUUCACUAGUUUUCAGAACUCAAGCCAUGCUUAGAGGGACAGUUUGGGAUGCUUGGCAUUGUGCAGCUAGAGGUGAAAUUCUUGUAGCCCAGAAGAACCAGAGGAAAACAUCUGCCAAGAAUGUUUUCCUUAAUCAAAGAAGAAAUUUCAUCAGAGGUUUGAUCAGAUACCUAUAGAGAGCAGAUCCCUGCAUUGUAGUCCCAAUCAAUCAUAAGCAGUGCAGACUAGGCCAUGUGACCUUGUUAUUCUCAUGACUCUUAGGGUGGCCUCCAGGAAAUCAAAAUUUUUCAGUUCUG
rnacentral:ncRNA from 1 species